UUCACCCCACAAAUCAAAGCAAUGAAAUGGCCGUGUUAUCUAACAUUAUAUUCACAACUCCACUGAUGAUACUCCACUGUUCAAAGUCAAAAGACGCAUUAAAUUGACCAAAAGGUGCAGUCAAGAGAUUUAUAAUGUAGGUUGACUAAAUAUUUCUAUUUCAAGUAAAAUU